rnacentral:lncRNA from 1 species
ACAACAGAACAUUAAUAAUUACAGUAGUCGAGGUUACGCGUUAAUGUGUUGUUUGUGAGAUCGUUUGAAUGUACUUUCUUUGUUCAUGUUAUUGUCCGACAAAAAUCAAACAAGGAACAUUAGAAAACACCAGAUGCCAUUAAAUUAAGGAGCAUCUGUUGUAUCACUCCUCAUUUGCUCCAUAAAGUAGAUGUGUACUUAUGGUCCUAAAGAAAGCAUGGAAGUGCCUUUUUUCCAUUGGGAAUAAAAAGACAGUGUGCUGUUGCUGUAGAAAAUAUUCGUGACAGUGAACUGAUUGUCUAACGAACAAAUGAGAAGGAAAACUGCAGUUAAUUUUGAUGCUUUUGACAUCUUCGCCUUGCAACAUUAUGCAGUUAAUUUUGGCCCUGAGAAUGGGAGGCAAUUGGAAAUUAAUUUGGAAGUCACUGAAACAACAAAUAGUCUGCAGUGGUAUCAUUCCUAGAUUUGGUUUGCUCAAUACACUGAUGAACUUUAGAACGCUACUUUUUACUAAGGUGAGAGAACAUAACAUAAUCAGUUUAAGUUAGAUUCCUGACCGUUACUAUUAAAUUAUGCAGUUUUUUUUCACGGUGGCGGUCAAAUAAUUACACAACUACUAUUGUUUAUUCUAACGUUUUGGUUUAUUUAACCUUCUCUAGACUGAAAAAAAUUUGCUUUUUACUUAUAGUUCUUCUAGUUAGAUGUUAUACAUUUGUUUGUAAAAUAUAAAUAUAAUUAAUAGUCAAAGAACAUACCUUUUGGAG